CCUACGGGUGGCAGCAGUAGGGAAUCUUCCACAAUGGACGAAAGUCUGAAGGAGCAACGCCGCGUGAGUGAAGAAGGUUUUCUGCUCGGUAAGCUCUGUUGGUAGAGACGAAAGAUAGAGUUAGUAUAUGCCCCUUAUUUGACGGUACUUACAUAGAUAGUCACGGCUAACUACGUCCCAGCAGCCGCGGUAAUACGUAGGUGGCAAGCGUUGGCCGGAUUUAUUGGGCGUAAAGGGAGUGCAGGCGGUUCAAUAAGUCUGAUGUGGAAGACUUCGGCUCAACCGGAGAAUUGCAUCCGAGACUGUUGAACUUGAGUGCAGAAGAGGAGAGUGGAACUCCAGGUGUAGCGGUGGAAUGCGUAGAUAUAUGGAAGAACACCAGUGGCGAAGGCGGCUCUCUGGGCUGCAACUGACGCUGAGGCUCGAAAGCAUGGGUAGCGAACAGGAUUAGAUACCCCUGUAGUC
rnacentral:rRNA from 1 species